AGAAGUUGUUUUAAAAGAUUAGACUUCUUGCUCGGAGAAAAAUGUUAGGGACAGAAUCAUAUUGAGAGGUGUUGUUAGAAAGUUAGGAGGCAAUGAUACCAUCUAAAUUAUAAAUAUCUAUGUCAUAAUGGAGACAAGUAGAAUGGUGACAUAACCUUGCCUGUUUCCUACUUCAUCUGUCUUAACUCAGGAUAGCAAAGCACAAGAGAAAAUUUUCAUUCUAAUUCAAACAAAAAAAUGAUUAGCUUGACAGGAAGGGCCUCUGUAUCAACAAUAAAGUGGAGGGGCACCAGUGCUUUGAGAGGGGAGCACCAUUUUGAAAAUGAUCCCUGAGAACUUUUGUUUUGAAUGAUCUUAUCUUCUAAGAGUGCUGUCCUGUAUCCCUAUUACACUUUCAGAGAGAGCAUCUUAGAUAUUUUCACUUCAAUGAGAAUAAAGUUAAAGGGGUGGAGUUUUGAGUAACUUGAUCAGUUAAUGAACUGGCUCUUCACAAUAUGCCAUAGAAUGAUAGCUACAGAAGUGUCCAGGCUUUCUUGAUUCGAAAGGAGUAAGAUUAUUCAUUGAGUGAAUGGCACUCAGCUAGGCACUCCCUGGAAGAUGCAAAGAUAAAUAAUGAUCAGUGUCAUAAUUAGCAUGCUGCGGGGGGUAGGAGAAGGAAAGAA
rnacentral:lncRNA from 1 species